rfam:Paenibacillus wynnii strain DSM 18334 unitig_2, whole genome shotgun sequence.
GUCAACUCCCCACCACUUAAACGGUAAAGCGUUAUGAAGUGGGGGCUUGAAAAAGCCCUAGUUGUCUAGCCUUAGCUUUAAGCUACGUUGGGCAUGUCAAUACGGCUUGGUGUAAUUCCCUAGCACCUUUUGUCGUUCAGGCGCUGUAACAGUUCUGUUGGGUCGGAACGGUCAACCUGAGGCACGAAGCAUGUCCAACAUUGGCGAAGGGAAACAAAC